CAGCCGCCGCGGGAAUACCGAGGGUGCAAGCGUUAAUCGGAAUUACUGGGCGUAAAGCGCGCGUAGGUGGUUUGUUAAGUUGGAUGUGAAAUCCCCGGGCUCAACCUGGGAACUGCAUCCAAAACUGGCAAGCUAGAGUAUGGUAGAGGGUGGUGGAAUUUCCUGUGUAGCGGUGAAAUGCGUAGAUAUAGGAAGGAACACCAGUGGCGAAGGCGACCACCUGGACUGAUACUGACACUGAGGUGCGAAAGCGUGGGGAGCAAACAGGAUUAGAUACCCGAGUAGUCCCUGUCUCUUAUAC
rnacentral:rRNA from 1 species